GCACCCAUUUCAGAAAUGGUUUCGUCCCUAGAUCAAAAUUGUCACUCCAUCUCUCUCGCGAGCCCUCUCUUGCCCCGCGACUCCUCGCCCCCACCGCCACUCACGCCGGCCGAUUCCGGCGAGUCCCGAUGGCAGGUGGCAGACUGACGACCUCCCCUUGCUCUGCUCCUUCCUCCCAUCCCUCCAGAUCCGGCCUCCCGCGCUCGCUGCCGACCCUCAGCCAUGGCUAGGGUUUCGGGCGCGGCGUCCCCUUCGUCGCCGGCGAGGCUCUGGCGGCCUGCGGUGGCUCGUCCCGCCCACGUGUGGCUCCGCCUCAUGGACGUUCCUCCCGCGCCCACAAUGAAAUCCAUUUUCUCUUUGUGUGUGUGUUGGAUUUGGAUUUAGAUCGAGGAAGGAGAGAUGUCGUGGGGAUGAGGCGGUGGACAGAGGAAGAGGGCGGAUCUGGAUCCAGGCGGCCGUGUAUUUGAUCUGUUUGUUGAAAUGAUCUUAUCUCCUCUCAUCUGCCAUCUCUUCUCUCACUGACCCCGCCUCUCUCGUCUCUGCAGGUAGAGUGGCCAGAGGAGCAGGCCAACAUCCCUCUUUACCUUCCACCCAACACCAAUGUGAUCUUAAAUGAUUCCUACCUCGAGCUUCCAUCGAACACGGCUUCGGUUGUUUCUUGGUUGUUCAAGUAUGCUUGAUGGUUCUUCAUCGAGGGUUGAGAUGGACCAUGCACUGGUUACAUCUUCUCCUAUCUCUCCAUGUUCUUAAUUUUCUUGUGCAAUGAGUGCUGGAUUUAGACAACAGUUUGUGCAGUCCAUGCUUUUACAUUGAAAAUGAGAAGAUGAAAUGAUGGGUUUGGACAGUGCUGGUGUUUCUUUUUUCUGGGCAUUACAUUACUAAAAUGAACUAUAUUUACAAUUGUUGAACUCCAUAGCUAAUAAGAUGAUUAUUUAUUUUUUGAGCAUUCGAUAUGGAACAGUUUUACCAUAUGUGGCUGCUUUCGGGUUAGUAAGUUUUGUUCUUCAUUAUAUUUUUCUUAUUAUUCUGAAUGCCACCAUGGACUCUUUAGUUUCUUAGUAGUAUAUGCUUAAUUUGCUUUACUGGAGACAUGCAAUUCCCUCAAACUGCAAGGAAUGGUGUAAUAUAAGGAGAAAAUCAGAUCUGUCUCACACCUACCUUCAAUAAUAAGAGGCCUGAUCCUAAUCUGUUGUGCUACCAUGUACAAACAUUUACAAAUUAGAGUCAAGGUUAGAAUCUUGUUAUAACCAUUUAUAAAUUAUGUGUACCUUGAACCCACAUGCCAUGGUACCAUUUAAUAACAUGUACAAACCACCAAGGACUUUGCUAGAUUUUUAUAUUUACAUAGAACUAAUAUUGAUCCAAUCUCAAUGCUCUUUUCCUUAAACUGAGUAGGUCAUAUAGAUAGGAGUGGAGAAUUAUUUCUGAAGUGGUCUGUCAUAGUUAAUACACUCCAGCCCCAAAAAUUGAUGCUAGAUGACACUGUUAUUUCUGCGUGUAGCUCACUACUUGAUUCACUUGUAGAUAGAGCCAUUCCUUGCAGAUGCCUUCUCCUCUAUUGUGUGGUCAGUUUCUUCAAGUUCUGUAGACAAAAGAAAAACAAGUUCAUUUUAAUUACAAUGGCUCUCGGUUGAAAGUUUUAGCCUCUGUAAUUGAUCUGGGGAUAACCAUUGACUUCGUGUAGGUUAUUUGUAGGUUCUUUGCCAUUAAUAACUCAAAUUCAUUAUGUGUUGUGUAACUAGAACUGCACCUCAACUGACAGGAAGCAACACUUGCUAGCACAUACAGUUUCUUAUCUAAAUAUUUUGUUGUCAGUAAGCGAGCAAAUAUUGGGAAAACGAUGAAAUAGAAUGGACCUAUCCUGUUAGGAUCAUAUGAUCCAGUUCCAAGCUUCGAUCUCUUGCAAAUAUUAUAAACAAAGCAUCAUGGGAUUAGUUUUUUUUUUUCUAAAUCAGAAGUGAAAAAUACACUUCAAAGUUUUGUUGCUUCAUAAAUGUUGAUGUAAGCUUACCCUCACAGGUACUUUGUUAGGUGACACAUGCGCCUUCAUUUCAAGUGCAAGCCGCCUCUCUCACUGUGCAUUGUCUCUAGACGCACCACCGUCGGCCGCAGCUGCCGACUAUACAUAUGAUCCAUGUGUCGUGUUUAGUCUCUCUGUAAGACUUGAUAUGCCUGCGUUCCGACAGACUCUGCCUCUCUUUUGGAGAUCACCCACCUUUUGGAAGAUGUUCAUUUUUGAUUUCAACCGCUGGACGACUCAUGUACUUCUGUUAAUAUAGACCCGCUAGCUUGCUCUGCUAGCUAUGUUUUAUGGCUGAACACUUU